rnacentral:lncRNA from 1 species
UAAGCAUUCAUCAUUGAUAUAUCAAACGGCAAGCUUGGAAUAACGUUGAUAUAUACAUUGGCAUAGAUUUCGACUUCGGACUUUUGACUACCAUAUCAUCAAUGUAAGCUUCCACAAUAUUCCUCAACAAUCCAUUGAAGAUUUUAGUCACAAGCCUUUGAUAGCUGGAACUAGCGUUUUUCAACCUGAAAAGGCAUGAGUUUGUAGCAAAAUAGAGCUCUUGGAGUGAUAAAGCUUAUUUUUUCCACAUGCUUUGGAUGCAUCGGGAUUUGUUGUUUCCGCUGUAUGCAUCCAAAAGGGAAAGCCUUUAGUAGGUAGUGGUAGCAUCCACUAAUUGGUCAAUUUUUGGCAAGGGAAAGGAUCCUCCGGACAGGCUUUGUUAAGGUUUGUGUAAUCUAUGCAUACUGGCCAUUUUUUUUCACACCACAACAACAUUAGAGUUCAAUUCAGGGUAUUGAACAUCCUAAAUGAAUCAAACCUUGAAGAGGCGUUCCAUUCCAUUUCUGAGCAAAUCUCCCAUGUUUUUGUUGCACUAGUUUUACCAUUGGGUCAAUUGUUAAUUGGUGGUAUGCAACUUCUGGAUAUAUUCAUAGCAUGUUUGUGUGACCAUGCAAAAGCAUCGUACUUCCUCUUGAGUAGGAAAAUCAUAAGUCUUUUCCACUUGAGCCAAUUUGCACCCUUUUUCUGAGGCUAAAGGAUCAAGGGAUAUUGUUUCUAGUUCUUCAAUGACAAGCUCCUUGUAGUGCAAGCAUCGAGACAUUCAAUUUGGCAUUGGAUCUUACAGUUGUUAUUUAGCCCCAUCCUCCACCAAUUGUUGUGGUGAAGGAAAGGUUCCUCAAUAAGUCUAUGUUCUAAAGAUGAGAACUAUCUCAUUUCCUCUAUUGUCAGCUUUUUCUUGUUCUCCAGAACGAGUUCUGAUCUAAAUGUUCCUUUGCAAGGUUUGAUGAUGACAAUUGCCAUCAUUUGAUCUUCUUCUAUAUUAAAUGUCCCCCUCCCUAUUUGAGAAACACCACAGACACUUAGUACAGUGUUGCGAAAACCGACUCUAUAUAGUAAAGCCAACGUCUCUUUAAUAUUGCAAGGUAGGCCUAUUGGGCAUUAAUGACCAUAAAAUCAACUGAAAUAGUCUUGUCUCUAACUUUUAGUGGGAGGUUGAUUAUUCUUUUUGCCGUUAGCCUUAUUCCCUCAAAGGCUAUAAAAGGGGAAUAUCAUUUUUGUAAAUAGUCUCAUUUUUUGAAAUCAUCCCAAUAAGGAAUCUUUGCCGCUACUUUCCUCAUUAAUAAGAAUAAUUUUAACCACAAAAUUGGUGAUUUUCAGACUUACCACCAAGUGGUCUAUAUGAGGCAUGUCAAUUCUUUCAAAGUCUUUUUGAGAGAAAGUAAGUUAGGCAGGCUCCUUUGAAAUGGACAUAAUAGCAACUAUGAAAGUUUUAAUGAUUUCGUAUCACUAUAUCUUUUGUGCCUGAUAACCAUGACAUUUUUAAACUUAAACCAAUAGUAUUUAGAGAGUAAAUGAUGCAUUUUUAUUACAUUCUUAGUUACAUUUUGUAUGAGCCUGUAUUUAAAUUUUAUUUUGAUAAAUUGGUUGUAUUUUAGAUUACUUUGUGCUCUAAUUAUGUGUGAUUGUGGGGGACAAAAAAGCUUAAGCUUUAUGGAUGGAAAGCUGCAGCAGCAGAGUUGCAGAGAUGACAAAAAAACUUGGCUGCAGAGGAAAUAAAACAAGUCUCAAACAGAGAAGAUGUUGUAGUCAUUACCGGGGAUUGGUUGUUUAUUGUGAUUUAUGAAAUCAGUUUUAGUUGGUGACAAUUUUUAUUUUUCUUUUAAUUUGUCUACUUUGUUGACAGAAGUGCUCUAGCAACC